CCUACGGGUGGCAGCAGUGGGGAAUAUUGGACAAUGGGCGAAAGCCUGAUCCAGCCAUGCCGCGUGUGUGAAGAAGGCCUUCGGGUUGUAAAGCACUUUCAGUGGGGAAGAAAGCCUUGGGGCUAAUACCCUCGAGGAAGGACAUCACCCACAGAAGAAGCACCGGCUAACUCCGUGCCAGCAGCCGCGGUAAUACGGAGGGUGCGAGCGUUAAUCGGAAUUACUGGGCGUAAAGCGCGCGUAGGCGGUCUGAUAAGCCGGUUGUGAAAGCCCCGGGCUCAACCUGGGAACGGCAUCCGGAACUGUCAGGCUAGAGUGCAGGAGAGGAAGGUAGAAUUCCCGGUGUAGCGGUGAAAUGCGUAGAGAUCGGGAGGAAUACCAGUGGCGAAGGCGGCCUUCUGGACUGACACUGACGCUGAGGUGCGAAAGCGUGGGUAGCAAACAGGAUUAGAUACCCUUGUAG
rnacentral:rRNA from 1 species